GAUUGCUAGCUUGCUAAUAAUUCUCUAGUGGCGCACGGGUGAGUAACACGUGAGUAACCUGCCCCCGAGAGCGGGAUAGCCCUGGGAAACUGGGAUUAAUACCGCAUAGUAUCGAAAGAUUAAAGCAGCAAUGCGCUUGGGGAUGGGCUCGCGGCCUAUUAGUUAGUUGGUGAGGUAACGGCUCACCAAGGCGAUGACGGGUAGCCGGUCUGAGAGGAUGUCCGGCCACACUGGAACUGAGACACGGUCCAGACACCUACGGGUGGCAGCAGUCGAGAAUCAUUCACAAUGGGGGAAACCCUGAUGGUGCGACGCCGCGUGGGGGAAUGAAGGUCUUCGGAUUGUAAACCCCUGUCAUGUGGGAGCAAAUUAAAAAGAUAGUACCACAAGAGGAAGAGACGGCUAACUCUGUGCCAGCAGCCGCGGUAAUACAGAGGUCUCAAGCGUUGUUCGGAAUCACUGGGCGUAAAGCGUGCGUAGGCUGUUUCGUAAGUCGUGUGUGAAAGGCGCGGGCUCAACCCGCGGACGGCACAUGAUACUGCGAGACUAGAGUAAUGGAGGGGGAACCGGAAUUCUCGGUGUAGCAGUGAAAUGCGUAGAUAUCGAGAGGAACACUCGUGGCGAAGGCGGGUUCCUGGACAUUAACUGACGCUGAGGCACGAAGGCCAGGGGAGCGAAAGGGAUUAGAUACCCCUGUAGUCCUGGCAGUAAACGGUGCACGCUUGGUGUGCGGGGAAUCGACCCCCUGCGUGCCGGAGCUAACGCGUUAAGCGU
rnacentral:rRNA from 1 species